rnacentral:tRNA from 1 species
GCUAGUGUGGCGUAAUGGUUAGAGUGUUGGGCUAUGACCUGGGAGACCAGGGUUCGAAUCCCCACUCUGCCUUGUAGCU